rnacentral:rRNA from 1 species
GUGGGGAAUAUUGGACAAUGGGCGCAAGCCUGAUCCAGCCAUGCCGCGUGAGUGAUGAAGGCCCUAGGGUUGUAAAGCUCUUUCAACGGUGAAGAUAAUGACGGUAACCGUAGAAGAAGCCCCGGCUAACUUCGUGCCAGCAGCCGCGGUAAUACGAAGGGGGCUAGCGUUGUUCGGAAUUACUGGGCGUAAAGCGCACGUAGGCGGAUCGAUCAGUUAGGGGUGAAAUGCCGGGGCUCAACCCCGGAACUGCCUCUAAUACUGUCGAUCUCGAGUUCGAGAGAGGUGAGUGGAAUUCCGAGUGUAGAGGUGAAAUUCGUAGAUAUUCGGAGGAACACCAGUGGCGAAGGCGGCUCACUGGCUCGAUACUGACGCUGAGGUGCGAAAGCGUGGGGAGCAAACAGGAUUAGAUACCCGUGUAGUCC